UUCAGCCGUCCUUUCCUCUUGUUACAAAAUUGUGUUCAUUCUUUAGAACCAUCAAGGAGGGGUAGUGCAGUUUCAUUUAGACGUAAGAUCCUGCCAUUCCCGAUGGAAAUUGCCUACGCGGAGAGCAGUUAACAAGUGGGAAUCAGUAGCAUUAUAUUUGAUUUUAAGGUAGGGUUGGUGUUCUCUAUUUGGAAAAUUUAUGGUGGCUCACAUCUCAGUGGCUCUUAUUAAAAUAGAGUAUUUUCGGUAUCUGCUAUUAGAUAUAGCAACAUAUGUAGUUUAAGAAAUUGAUUGAUUCAAUGAACUAGUUAAAGGUUCUGCUGCUCUUUUAAUGAUUCUCUACAGAUCUGGUUCUUUUAGGGAUGAUUUCGCUAUUUUUUUUUUUUGGUUUUCUUAGAUAAAUUUUGCACUCGUAGUUCUUGAAAGGUGAUGAGAAUUACAGAGAUUAUUAGGUACAAUUACAUCUCUUACUAAGAUUAGUUAGGCAGAUUAGUCUAGAACGAAAGAAAUAAAAACUGAAGAGGAAAAAGUUUUGUGGUAAUUAGUUGAAAUUGAGGUGCUUGACUGUUCAUAGUGAGAGAUUGCAUGUACCCAAGAUUGGAUUUCUUUUCCUUUUACUUUUAGACCCUUUUUUUAUUUUUUUAAAAUAUUUGUACAUGUGUGUGUGUGUGUGUAUAUAUUUUAGUUUAUUAUUAUAUAUAUUAAAUUUAUUUAACUGAAAUAGACUAGACUCUUGAUACUUAAAUCUCAUAGAUGGAGGACCAAUUCGGACGUACCGAACUUGUUCGGUUUUUAAGAUUUAGACAGCCAAAAUGAGUAUGAUUUGAACGGCUAGGAUUUGUUAAAAUAGAUCUCUAAGGGUUGAGAUGUAAGCGUAUCUAGGAAUGGUAUUAUAUAGGAGGAAGUAGGUGUGGCAGUUAGACUGAAUUUUACUGUUUUCUGGAAACAAUAACUAACCCCAAAUUCCAACAUCCAUGCACCUUUUCUCACACCCUCUCCUGCUCCUUUUUCCUUUCCAACUAUAUAUAUAUAUAUAUAUAUAUAUAUAUAUACAUACAUAUAUAUGUAUACGCACUUAUAUACACAACCGUCAUGCUGGCCCCACUACAAUAAUGGAAAGGGUGAAAAAUGAGU
rnacentral:lncRNA from 1 species